UGCGUAGGCGGAAUAAUAAGUCAGUGGUGAAAUCCUGCGGCUCAACCGUAGAACUGCCAUUGAAACUGUUAUUCUUGAAUGUAGUUGAGGUAGGCGGAAUGUGUAAUGUAGCGGUGAAAUGCUUAGAUAUUACACAGAACACCGAUUGCGAAGGCAGCUUACUAAACUAUGAUUGACGCUGAUGUACGAAAGCGUGGGGAGCGAACAGGAUUAGAUACCCUGGUAGUC
rnacentral:rRNA from 1 species